rnacentral:rRNA from 1 species
AACGAACGCUGGCGGCAGGCCUAACACAUGCAAGUCGAGCGAGAUCUUCGGAUCUAGCGGCGGACGGGUGAGUAACGCGUGGGAAUAUGCCCUUCUCUACGGAAUAGCCUCGGGAAACUGGGAGUAAUACCGUAUACGCCCUUAGGGGGAAAGAUUUAUCGGAGAAGGAUUAGCCCGCGUUGGAUUAGGUAGUUGGUGGGGUAAUGGCCUACCAAGCCGACGAUCCAUAGCUGGUUUGAGAGGAUGAUCAGCCACACUGGGACUGAGACACGGCCCAGACUCCUACGGGAGGCAGCAGUGGGGAAUCUUAGACAAUGGGGGCAACCCUGAUCUAGCCAUGCCGCGUGAGUGAUGAAGGCCUUAGGGUUGUAAAGCUCUUUCAGCUGGGAAGAUAAUGACGGUACCAGCAGAAGAAGCCCCGGCUAACUCCGUGCCAGCCGCCGCCGUAA